CUCCCUCCGUUCAUUUGGAGGUUGUGCUGCGUUUGAACCGAGGCAGACAGGGGAUCGACAUGUAACCGGUUAGAAAUAACUUCACAAAUAAUACGAGGAGUAACCGGAUACCGGGAUCUUAAACCUUUGGAUUUUUUUUUUCCACUCUGGAUAUUUUCCUUCAUUUAGUCGUCUCGGGGGAAUAUUUCCCAUUAACGUUAGCUCCCCCUCUGUGAGAUCUGAUCUUUAGCCACUCACAAUCCUAGCACAAAACCCUACCUGUCUCAGGUCUCAUGUAGUCAGUCUUUGCUAGCUUCCGUAGAUAGCUAGCUAAACCUGCGACCACUGAAAGAGAGAAUAUCUUGAACUAAUGGUGUUCAACAAAACGAUGUGAUUCAUUGUAUUUCCGAUGAGGCAGCCAAGCCCAGCCAUUGGCAUGUGAAACAGCUGGCUCGUGUCAAGACGAUUGUGGAUUAACGUUUUUUCUUCGCCGAAUAUCUCUAAGAAACCCCGGACGUGGUCUUUUCAGUGACCAACAUGAGCGUCGAUUUAAUCGAAUCAACUACAUGAGUUGAGCCAAAACAAACACAUAUUCCUUCCAAGGAGUGCACAUUUUUCAACAGCGCCGGUUGUCCUAGAAAAUAUGGAAAGCGAGGUUUUCACCCCUUUGCUGGAGCAGUUUAUGCUCACGCCUCUGGUCUGCUGGGUGAAGACAGUCGGGCAGGCGACUUUGAUCGAUGGCACUCAAUUAUCGGAAUAUAUUGAAUUAGUGGACGGGAUUUACCUGAACGAGAUAAUGCUUGAGAUAAAUCCUAAGGCCACGGUGCAGAGGACCAACAAGAAGGUGAACAAUGACGCAACACUGCGCAUCCAGAACCUUUCUAUUCUCAUCAGGCAGAUUAAAGCCUACUAUCAGGAGACGCUCCAGCAGCUGGUGAUGAUGCCUUUACCAAACGUGCUGGUACUGGGCCGGAACCCUUUGUCUGAGCAAGGUCUGGAGGAGAUGAAAAAACUGUUGCUGCUGCUGCUAGGCUGUGCUGUCCAGUGCGAGAAGAAGGAAGAGUACAUUGAGUGUAUUCAGACUCUGGACUUUGACACCAAAGCUGCCAUAGCAUCCCACAUCCAAGAGGUGACUCAUAAUCAGGAGAACGUAGUGGACAUGCAGUGGUUGGAAAGUGGAGAAAUGCCUUCUGAGGACCUGGACAGCCUCUCCAGAAAUCUGGCUUUUCACCUCAAACGCCUGGUGGAUGAGAGGGACACCCAGCUGGAGAUUAUAGUGGAGUUAACCCAGGAAAGAGACUGUGUACAGCUGUCUCCACUGGCUCCCUGUCCGACCCAGUCCCCCGGGGACUCCCCCAGUAUCAGGAGGACCGAAAGCCGACAGCACCUCUCAGUGGAGUUGGCUGAUGCCAAGGCCAAGAUCAGACGCCUUCGACAGGAACUAGAGGAGAAGAGUGAGCAGCUUUUAGACACCAAGCAGGAGCUUGAGAACAUGGAAGUGGAGCUCAAGAAGCUUCAGCAAGAGAGCUACCAGUUACUGUCGGACGCUCGGUCGGCUCGGGCCUAUCGUGAUGAGCUGGACGCACUCAGAGAGAAAGCAAUCCGUGUUGACAAACUGGAGAGCGAGCUGAGCCGAUACAAGGAGAGACUUCACGACAUUGAGUUUUACAAGGCCAGAGUCGAGGAGCUGAAGGAAGACAACCAGGUCCUGUUGGAGACUAAGAGCAUGUUGGAGGAGCAGCUGGAUGCUCGCUGUACCCGCUCCGACAAACUGCACCUCCUGGAGAAAGAGAGUCUGCAACUCAAAUCCAAGAUCCACGACCUGGAGAUGGAGCGGGACAUGGACCGUAAGCGUAUGGAGGAGCUGUUGGAGGAGAACCUUGUGCUUGAGAUGGCCCAGAAACAGAGCAUGGACGAGUCCCUGCACCUGGGCUGGGAGCUGGAGCAACUAUCCAAGACACCAGAUCUGACUGAAGCCCCUCAGAAGUCUCUGGGCGACGAGGUGAAUGAGCUGACCUCGAGCCGCCUGUUGAAGCUGGAGAAAGACAACCAGACCCUGCUGAAGACUGUGGAGGAGCUCAGAGGAGCAGCCAGUCAGGACACAGUGACAAAGCUGGCAAAAGUCAGCCAAGAAAACCUGAGACUGAACCAGAAAUUGGAGCAGCUGGGGAGUGAACGGACAGCAGACAGAGAGUCGCUCCUUAGUGCUGAAUCUCUCAGUACUGACCUGAUGAAGGAGAAGGCUUUACUGGAGAAGACUCUGGAAACACUCAGAGAAAACUCUGAGAGACAGCUAAAGGGCCUGGAGCAGGAGAACAAGCACCUUAGCCAGACGGUGUCGUCCCUGCGUCAGCGUUGCCAGGUUGGUGCCGAGGCCCGGGUCAAGGAUGUGGAAAAAGAGAAUCGCGUUCUCCACGAGUCCAUCUGCGAGACAGCUGCCAAACUCAACAAGAUGGAGUUUGAAAGGAAACAACUACGUAAGGAGCUUGAAGUGGUGAAGGAGAAAGGUGAGAGAGCAGAAGAUUUGGAGAUUCAGAUUCAGAAGCUAGAAAGGGAAAAUGACAGCCUGCAGAAGAAAGUUGCCAGCCUUGGAAUCACCUGUGAAAAGGUGUGUUCUUUGGAGAAGGAGAACACUGAGCUAGAGGCAGAGGGCCGCCGUCUGAAGAAGAAGUUGGACACUCUGAAGAACAUGGCCUUCCAGCUGGAGGCUCUGGAAAAGGAGAACUCACAGCUGGAGCAGGAGAACCUGGAGCUUCGGCGCUCAGCAGAGAGUCUCCGGUUAGCGGGAGCUAAGGCCGCUCAGCUAGAAGCUGAGAACAGGGAGCUGGAGAGCGAGAGAAGCCAGAUGAAGCGAAGCCUGGAACUGCUCAAGGCCUCGUCCAAAAAGACGGAGCGAUUAGAGGUGAGUUACCAGGGCCUAGAUACAGAGAACCAGCGCCUGCAGAAGGCUUUAGAGAACAGCAGCAAGAAGAUUCAACAAUUGGAAGUAGAGCUGCAAGAGGUGGAGACUGAGAACCAAACCCUCCAACGCAACCUGGAGGAGCUCAAGAUCUCCAGUAAACGCCUGGAGCAGCUGGAGCAGGAGAACAAGACUCUGGAGCAGGAAAGCUCCCAGCUAGAGAAAGACAAGAAGCUACUGGAGAAAGAGAACAAGCGGCUGAGACAGCAGGCCGAGAUCCGCGACUCCAAGCUAGAUGACAACAACCAGCGGAUCUCCACCUUGGAGAAAGAGAAUCGCACCAUGGGCAAGGAGAUGAUCUUCUUCAGGGACUCAUGCACGAGAGUCAAAGACCUGGAGCGAGAGAACAAGGAGCUGGUCAAACUGGGAACCAUUGAUAAGAAGACCCUUAAUGCACUCAGAGAGGAGCUUGUGAGUGAGAAGCUGCGGACUCAGCAGAUGAAUAAUGAUCUGGAGAAACUGACCCAUGAGUUGGAAAAGAUUGGACUGAACAAGGAAAGGCUGCUGCAUGACGAGAGCUCUGAAGACAGGUUUAGGCUCCUGGAAACCAGAUUGGAGUCGACUCUGAAAUCAUCUUUGGAGAUUAAAGAGGAGAAGAUCGCCGCCCUAGAGGCCAGACUGCAGGAGUCCUCCAACCUCAACCAGCAACUUCGGCAGGAGCUCAAGACAGUGAAGAAAAAUUAUGAAGCGCUGCGUCAAAGGGAGGAGGAAGAGAGGAUGGUGCAAAGCUCGCCCCCUAGAGGAGGGGAUGACCCUCAGGCUUUCAGUAAAUGGGAAAAAGAGAGUCAUGAAGCCACCAGAGAACUGCUGAAAGUCAAAGACAGACUCAUUGAGGUGGAGAGGAAUAAUGCCACACUCCAGGCUGAGAAGGCGGCCCUGAGGAGCCAACUUAAACAACUGGAAACUCAAAGCUCCAAUUUGCAGGCUCAGAUAGUGGCAGUGCAGAGACAGACUGCUUCUUUACAGGAAAACAAUACAACACUACAAACACAGAACGCCAAGCUGCAGGUGGAGAACUCCACCCUGAGCUCAAAGAGUGCAGCCCUAAUGGCCCAGAACGCCCAGCUGCAGAGCCAGCAGAGCAGCGUGGAGGGUGAGCGUGAGGGUGCUCUGAAGGAGAAAGAGGAGCUCCGGUCCACCUACGAGAUGCUCCUCCGCGAUCACGAGAAGCUGGCAGCGCUCCACGAGAGGCAGGCCGCCGAGUAUGAAGCCCUGAUCGGAAAGCACGGGGGCCUGAAGAGCUCCCAUAAGAGCCUGGAGCAGCAGCACAGAGACCUGGAGGACAAGUACAAGCAGCUCCUGCAGAGGAAGGGGGAGCUUGAGGAUCUGGAAAAGAAUCUGAAGGAGCAGCAGGAAAAAAUGGCGCUGGAAAAUCAUACGCACCAAGCCACAGCUGGACAGCACAAACUGCUCAAAGAGGAAAAUGAAAGGCUGAAUAAUACCUAUCGUCAGCUGGUGAAGGACAACGAGAAUCUCCAACUGGACCAUAAAAACACAAAGACCCAGCUGAACAGCGCCAAGCUGGACCAGACCAAGCUAGAGGCCGAAUUCUCUAAACUGAAGGAGCAAUACCAGCAGCUGGACAUCACCUCCACCAAGCUCACCAACCACUGUGAGUUGUUGAGCCAGCUGAAAGGAAACCUGGAAGAGGAGAACCGCCACUUGUUGGACCAGAUCCAGACUCUGAUGCUUCAGAAUCGCACUCUGCUGGAGCAGACCAUGGAGAGCAAGGACCUGUUCCACGUAGAGCAAAGACAAUACAUUGACAAGCUGAAUGAGCUGAGGAGACAGAAAGAGAAGCUGGAGGAGAAGAUUAUGGACCAGUACAAGUUCUACGACCCUUCACCUCCACGCAGGCGUGGCAACUGGAUUACUUUGAAGAUGAAGAAGUUGAUCAAGCCAAAGAGCCGCGAGAGAAUGCGCUCUCUCACACUGACUCCCUCUCGUUCAGAGUCUGGCGACGGUUUCCUGAUGUUCCCCCAGGACAGCCAGGACAGCUCGUCCAUAGGCUCUGGCUCCAACUCGCUGGACGACACUCUCACACAAAAGAGGAGCAGCAGGAGGAGAGGGCAGCAGCCCCAUGCCCAAGGGCAGGGUUCCACCAAUGCUAUGAAAAGAUUGCCUUUCAUGAGGAACAGAUCCAAGGACAAAGACAAGGCCAAGGCCAUCUACCGGCGCUCCAUGUCCAUGAAUGACCUGCUGCAGACCAUGGCGGUGGCGGGCGGUCCCGGGGCUCAGUGGGCGAACAGUAUCGAGAACCUAGACGGCGCUGAGGCCGGAGAUGCUGGCAUGACGGGUAGCAGCAGGCGCAGUGGGCAGCGCAUGAAGGAGCUCGCCUUUUCCACCAACGCCAUCGACUGUGCCACCCUCACCCUGCCUACUGCAAGGCAAAGCAGGGCCAAGCACCGUCUUCAGGUCAAAGAUAAUGCCUCCUGUGAGGAUGUUGCUGGCUCCUUAGACGACCCCAAGAGUCAAGCCUCCAGACCCACCAGUCUCCAUAAAAACAGGAUCACCAGUAGUAAUAGUAACAAUAACUCCCAACUCACUUCUCCUCUUGAGGGCAAAGGUAUGCACCUCCUUCCCUUAACCCCUCCCCCCUUUUUUCCACUUCCAACUCAACUAACCAUUCUUGCCUUCCUCCUUUGCUACUUUAUCUUUUUCUUUCUUUAUCUUUUUCUUUCAUGCUUUCAUGAUUUUAAAAGCACGUUGAAUGGCAGCCUCAGCAGGCCACACAGUGAGAGCAGUGGAGAGUUCAGCCUGAGUUUGGACCAGGAGGUGUGGUCCAGCAGCGGUAGCAGCCCAGUCCAGCAGCCCACCUCCUCGCGCUCCUCCCACCAGAGCCCCCUGCAGCUGCGCAGGUCACUCGACCCGUCCACCGCCGCAGGCCUCCCCGGCCAGACCCAGGUCAGGAGGACGGGAUCCCCAACCAAUGAGGUGCUUUCCCUGCAGCAGUUCCUGGAUGAGGGUAUUGAUCCUGCAGAGUCCGGCAGUCAGGAGAACCUCACUGUAGACUCUCCUCGCCUCUCCACUUCUUCUGAGCAUGUGCAGAAAGAACGCACUUCCACAAAGGGCCGAGGCAUAUUACGCUCAUCCAGUGGGAAAGCAGCGCCGGUCAGCUCUGAUCGUCCACCGAGAUCGGCCGGACAACCGGGUCGCCCAACCCUGCGUAAGGCAGAAAGCACCCGUGUGAGGGGCUCUGUCUCAGUCCGCUCCAGCCUAUCAUCGCAGGGCAAAGCCACGUCUGUGUCGGAACGCUUGGACUCUGCUUCCUCCACGCUGCCCCGGGCCAGCAGCGUCAUCUCCACUGCUGAGGGCACCAAUCGGCGCACCAGCAUCCACGACCUACUCUCAAAGGACAGCCGGCAGCCCGUGUCAGUCGACCCUUCUCCCAUCGCCUCCACCAAGGCUGGGGUACGCUCCCAGCCUACGCCCAAUGUGGAGGGCAGAAAGUCUAAAAGCAGGAGCGGGGAGCCGCAGCAAAGCUGCUAAACCCCGCCCCCACCACCCUCAUCUGUCUGCUACCAUGCUGUGAGCGCGUGAGAGAAAGGUGGCCUUGGAGCUGUGUUUUUGAAGAUUAAACAAGUUUAUCUGCUGAGACCAUCUACAGUGAGAAAAGAUUGUAUAUCCCCAGUUUCCUUUUUCUUCCCCUUUUUUUAACCCAUGAUACUUCAGUGGAGAAAAGUGGAUUUCUUCUCUGUUUGCUUUUUCUUCCUUGAAUCAAGGAAACCGAAAAUACUAGAAAAGUUGCUGUGACAGGUUUUUCCUAUAUAGACUAAAGCUGUGGCAGAUUGCACUUCCACGUGUACUUCAGUGUGACGGACUGCUAGAUGUGCACUAGUCUCUAUGUACUAAGAUUAAGUGCCAAUGUUCACACUAACAGCCAAAACGGUGAUCCUAAUCCAAACUGCUGACUUCAUUUUGGAUCUUCCGUGCAACUUUAAAGUCAGCCAGACCUUCAUCUGCCCAACGCCAUGACCCUAAAAAGUCUUUUUGUAAAUGGGCAGCAUGGACAAGCAAAGACAUGCAUUCAGUCACAUUUUAAAAGCAUGUUGGCACCAAACAGUUUUGACUCGACCUGCUUUAAGACUCACAAUCUGCAUGGAGCAAUCAAUCAGCCAAUCACCCCACUACCUUUGUCCAAUCAAAGAGGAGGACAGCAUUCAGUGGGGACUUUACUUGCCAGGAUGCCAAAUGGACUUGGACAGGAAGCCAUGACAGCUGUGUGAUUGGCGUCUGUUGCCUGCCAAUCAUGAGUGAAGGUUGUAUGAUCUGAGAGAGAGAGAGAGACCAAUCAGGGGAGUGUUCCAGGUCACCUAUAGAACAGUUGGCAGCCAUGGCUCAUGCCACCACACACCCUGAAACAAAUUGUACACACUGUUCAUCUUAGCUUAAAUCAUAUAUGUCAUUAAAUCAUCUCAUUUCUUGAUUCCCAUCCUGCUCUGAAAAAGAAAAUAACCGUAACACUAAAGUUCAUUAACUUCAUGCCUUCACAGUAUUGAGUAUCUACUUCCUGAGAAGGCACUCAGUAUAGGUGACCUGUUACCUACCCAGUACAUGCGGAUGUCUGUAUCUGUGUUGAACAUGAUGGUGAUUAUGACCCAGUGUUUUCCUCCUUUUCCACUUUUUACAUAAAUCCAUUUGAUGUAAUUAAAAUUCAUCAAGACUA